UAAACGACUCUCGGCAACGGAUAUCUCGGCUCAUGCAUCGAUGAAGAACGUAGCAAAAUGCGAUACUUGGUGUGAAUUGCAGAAUCCCGUGAACCAUCGAGUUUUUGAACGCAAGUUGCGCCCAAAGCCAUUUGGCUAAGGGCACGUCUGCCUGGGCGUCACAC
rnacentral:rRNA from 1 species